UAGUGAACUAGUACCGUGAGGGAAAGGCGAAAAGAACCCCGGGAGGGGAGUGAAAUAGAUCCUGAAACCGCAUGCUUACAAAAAGUCGGAGCCCGCAAGGGUGACGGCGUACCUUUUGUAUAAUGGGUCAGCGACUUACAUUCAGUGGCAAGGUUAACCGAGUAGGGUAGCCGUAGAGAAAUCGAGUCCGAAUAGGGCGUUCAGUCGCUGGGUGUAGACCCGAAACCAAGUGAUCUAUCCAUGGCCAGGAUGAAGGUGCCGUAACAGGUACUGGAGGUCCGAACCGACUAGUGUUGCAAAACUAGCGGAUGAGCUGUGGAUAGGGGUGAAAGGCUAAACAAACUUGGAAAUAGCUGGUUCUCUCCGAAAACUAUUUAGGUAGUGCCUCAAGUAUUACCUUCGGGGGUAGAGCACUGUUUUGGCUAGGGGGUCAUGGCGACUUACCAAACCAAGGCAAACUCCGAAUACCGAAGAGUACAGCUUGGGAGACAGAGCACCGGGUGCUAACGUCCGGACUCAAGAGGGAAACAACCCAGACCGCCAGCUAAGGUCCCUAAAAUUGGCUAAGUGGGAAACGAAGUGGGAAGGCUAAAACAGUCAGGAUGUUGGCUUAGAAGCAGCCAUCAUUUAAAGAAAGCGUAAUAGCUCACUGAUCGAGUCGUCCUGCGCGGAAGAUGUAACGGGGCUAAGCCAGUUACCGAAGCUGCGGAUGCACAGCUUGCUGUGCGUGGUAGGAGAGCGUUCUGUAAGCCUGUGAAGGUGUCUGGUAAUGGAUGCUGGAGGUAUCAGAAGUGCGAAUGCUGACAUGAGUAGCGUUAAAGCGGGUGAAAAGCCCGCUCGCCGUAAGCGCAAGGUUUUCUACGCAACGUUCAUCGGCGUAGAGUGAGUCGGCCCCUAAGGCGAGGCAGAGAUGCGUAGCUGAUGGGAAACAGGUCAAUAUUCCUGUACCGAUUGCAAGUGCGAUGUGGGGACGGAGAAGGUUAGCUCAGCAGACUGUUGGAUGUGUCUGUUCAAGCCUGUAGUCGUACCCGGUAGGCAAAUCCGCCGGGCUUAGAUGAGGGGUGAUAACGAGGAAGCUUGCUUCCGAAGUGAGUGAUACCCUGCUUCCAGGAAAAGCCACUAAGCUUCAGCUUGCAACGACCGUACCGCAAACCGACACUGGUGCGCGAGAUGAGUAUUCUAAGGCGCUUGAGAGAACUCAGGAGAAGGAACUCGGCAAAUUGACACCGUAACUUCGGGAGAAGGUGUGCCCUAAGUAGGUGAACCUGUACAAGGGGAGCCCAAAGGGGUUGCAAAGAAUCGGUGGCUGCGACUGUUUAAUAAAAACACAGCACUCUGCAAACACGAAAGUGGACGUAUAGGGUGUGACGCCUGCCCGGUGCUGGAAGAUUAAAUGAUGGGGUGCAAGCUCUUGAUUGAAGUCCCAGUAAACGGCGGCCGUAACAAUAACGGUCCUAAGGUAGCGAAAUUCCUUGUCGGGUAAGUUCCGACCUGCACGAAUGGCGUAACGAUGGCCACACUGUCUCCUCCUGAGACUCAGCGAAGUUGAAAUGUUUGUGAUGAUGCAAUCUCCCCGCGGAAAGACGGAAAGACCCCAUGAACCUUUACUGUAGCUUUGUAUUGGACUUUGAACGGAUCUGUGUAGGAUAGGUGGGAGGCUUUGAAGUGCGGUCGCUAGAUUGCAUGGAGCCAACGUUGAAAUACCACCCUGGUGCGUUUGAGGUUCUAACCUAGGUCCAUUAUCUGGAUCGGGGACAGUGCAUGGUAGGCAGUUUGACUGGGGCGGUCUCCUCCCAAAGCGUAACGGAGGAGUUCGAAGGUACGCUAGGUACGGUCGGACAUCGUGCUAAUAGUGCAAUGGCAUAAGCGUGCUUAACUGCGAGACUGACAAGUCGAGCAGAUGCGAAAGCAGGACAUAGUGAUCCGGUGGUUCUGUAUGGAAGGGCCAUCGCUCAACGGAUAAAAGGUACUCUGGGGAUAACAGGCUGAUACCGCCCAAGAGUUCAUAUCGACGGCGGUGUUUGGCACCUCGAUGUCGGCUCAUCACAUCCUGGGGCUGAAGUAGGUCCCAAGGGUAUGGCUGUUCGCCAUUUAAA
rnacentral:rRNA from 1 species